CAGUCGCCGCGGUAAUACAGAGGGUGCGAGCGUUAAUCGGAUUUACUGGGCGUAAAGCGUGCGUAGGCGGCUUUUUAAGUCGGAUGUGAAAUCCCUGAGCUUAACUUAGGAAUUGCAUUCGAUACUGGGAAGCUAGAGUAUGGGAGAGGAUGGUAGAAUUCCAGGUGUAGCGGUGAAAUGCGUAGAGAUCUGGAGGAAUACCGAUGGCGAAGGCGGCCCCCUGGACAAAGACUGACGCUCAGGUGCGAAAGCGUGGGGAGCAAACAGGAUUAGAUACCCCAGUAGUCCCUGUCUCUUAUAC
rnacentral:rRNA from 1 species